GGCUUUAUAGUCAAUAUUUAUGAUAUUAGACUGCAAUUCUAAAGUAGUUAUACUAAAGCUU
rnacentral:tRNA from 1 species